UAACUCUGUACUUGUACGUAGGCUGGUUCUUGCUAGAAAAAUUAACAGCCUCGUGUCCUAGAGGCACAAGAGGGAAAUGAAUACAGCAUGAUGCAAAUCAGGACACACGCAGUUACUCUCGGCAGAGGAAAUGGCUACGGUAGCUGGAACGCUUCACCCAGUGAGUGGCUGAGACAACAGAUGAUUGUGGAUGGGAACUGUAUAUAAGGAUGGGGACUAGCAAUGAAUUUCCCAACAGGCCAAUUUCCAUAAAGAACAAAAAACCAACCCAGCUCAGUUCUGCGGUUUCCCAAUUGAGGAAUUUCACAACUUGGCCAGCAGAGGGCAUGGAGUGGAAUUUAUCCCAGGGAGUGUGGGAGCUCUGAAGGAAGGCGUGUCAGCAGGAAAAAAAUCAGACCGCAGAGAUGAUAAAGAACAACAACAAUAUAACACUGUUAUCAUUGCAACACGCCUUCAUUUUCACUCAUGCAUCUGCUCGCUCUGUGCAGGCCAACAGCUAUUUGUGCAUGCAAAUCCAAUAACCAACGAGCAAUGUGGAAAUGCAAAGCAAGUGUCUGCCCAUUCAUGCCAGCAACAGCAAAUGUGAACGUGUAAAAAGGGAGGCAAAAAUUGUUGGUGGAAAAUACAGGGCUGGUGCUACCAUUAAGGCAAACCAGGCGGUUGCCUAGGGUGCCAAGAUUUGGGGGCGCCAAAAAGUGGUGCCCCAAAUUUUUUUUACAGUGUUCCUACGCCCCCGCCCCGAGCGCGCGGUCGCCACUCCACUUCUCCCACCUCCCAGGCUUGCAGCGCCAA
rnacentral:lncRNA from 1 species